ACACCUCCAGCAGCAAUUUGCGAAGCUGCCAAAGCCUUAGACAAGCACCAGGCCCAUCUCUGUGUACUUGCAUCCAAGUGUAAUGAGCCUAUGUAUGUCAAAUUGGUGGAGGCCCUUUGUGCUGAACACCAAAUCAAUCUAAUUAAGGAUUAUGGCAAAGAAUCUCAGGUCAAGGAUGUCAUCGAAGAGUACUUCAAAUGCAAAAAAUGGGCAAAUAAAUUUUUCGUUCACAUUC